UGUAUCAGACUGUAGUGUGUUGAGGUCAAGAACAUGAAAUCUAGGGCCAGGCCGCCUAUGUUUAUUGACUCACAAUGACAAAGAGCAAAUAACUUUACCUUUCAGAGUGUGGUCUCCUGUAAAACAGAAUCACAGUAGAGCUGCUGUCACAAGCUUGUUACAACAAUGAAAUGAGUUAAUAAAACAUACAAAACUUACAGUGAAAUUCAGUGGACUAUGGGAUGGAUAUGGAUUCUGAGAAUGCACUGCUCAAUCUCUGAUUGUUAGAAGAAAGAAGAAGGAGGGAGAGGAGAAGGAAACAUACUGCAAAUCCUCUGGUUAAAAUGAGGUAGAGAUGUCUCAUUUUACAUCUGCAUCUACCAGUACAUACAUCGGCAUGUAGUUUGUGGGAAGGAUUGGAUAAGCAUGCAUUUGAAUCCAGUACACCAGUGACGCUAUAGCAAUGUGUGAUGAGGUCAGAGUUGGAAUCACAGCAACAAAAGUGGAUGAUGUACAGUGAUGAGAAAACUGAGAAGAAUCAGAAUAGUAGACCCAUAAGAGAACCAAAAUGAACCUGUGACAAGACAGGCAAGAGUGGAGACAGUAACAAGGAGGAAUCUGUGAUCAGGAAGUAAAAACCACUGGAUUUCAUGAGCGAAUCACUGAUAACUUUUAAGAAAACUAUUUCAGGUUGAAGAUGUCCUUGAUGAUGUGUGUUUUCACCUGUUUGCAGACUUAACCCUGCUUGCUUAAGGGGAACUCAGUAAAGCUACUGCAGUAUAUAUCAACACCAUCGAGAGAAACUGGCUUUGAUCCACAUUCUAAAACUGGACUUGCAGCACUACCAAAUCACCCAAAUAUAAUUUUGACAAAUGCCAUGUCAAAAAAAUGUAGACAUAUGAUUUUCUUAAGGAACCCAAGCUCCCGAAAUAAGUCAAGGGUGAAGCUUUUCAACUGUCCAGCAGAAGCAAUCUCUCCAAUAGAAUACAGUAACUUCUGACUUUACUCAACUCACAAAGCUGCAAGACCCACUGGAAGCCCAAGCCUCCUGGAACUGCUCCUGGGCCAUGGGCACUGUAACAAGAUGCUUCCCAACAACCUUGCUUUGGGGAGCUGGGAGAGACUGGGUCAGCUGACCCUGUUUCCGAAGGUCCUUGGUGUAAGAUGUCAGAAACCAAAUCAUGUGUGCUUUUCUUUUUUACGGGAUCAAAAAGGGUCACAUGAGGAAGUUGGAGAACUUCCACUGUUGAAACCUGUGAGCUAAUCAUGCAAAGGUAAAGUUGAAAGUGGGAAGAUUUUCAGUGCUGAGUCUGCAGUCUUGGAAAGUUCUCAGGGCACGUUCCUCUCUUUUCAUUUUAUACAACACAGCAUUGCUGGGAGGAAUCGGGGCACAAAUGCUGGAGUGGUGAGGAAGGAACCUUCCACUCUACAUGAUUUCUCAUGACUCUUCAGUCCGGAGAGACUGCUGGUUCUGAGUUGUCUCCACCCUACUCCCCUAGGAGAGCUGCAGUGUACCCUGACAUGUUCUGACAUGUGGUGGUCCCUGACAUGGGGGCCCCUGAAGCGUGUGGUUUCCUUCCUUAAGGACGUUUGUCAGGACCCUGCCCACGCUAAAGGAUGUCUUGCUACUUAGUGCAAGAAUUUAGUUCCCUCCGGCCAUUUCCCA